AGCUUCCGAGGAGGUCACGAGGGUGGAGGGCGCCCCCCCUAGGCGCGCCCCCUACCUCGUGGGCCCCUUGGAGCUCCACCGACGUACUCCUUCCUCCUAUAUAUACCUAUGUAUCCCCAAUAGACCAGAGACGGAGCCAAAAACCUAAUUCCACCACCGCAACCUUCUGUAUCCACGAGAUCCCAUCUUGGGGCCUGUUCCGGAGCUCCGCGGGAGGGGGCAUCCACCACGGAGGGCUUCUACAUCAUCACCAUAGCCCCUCCGAUGAAGUGUGAGUAGUUUACUUCAGACCUUCGGGUCCAUAGCUAGUAGCUAGAUGGCUUCUUCUCUCUUUUUGGAUCUCAAUACAAUGUUCUCCCCCUCUCUCGUGGAGAUCUAUUCAAUGUAAUCUUCUUUUUAUGGUGUGUUUGUUGAGACCGAUGAAUUAUGGGUUUAUGAUCCAGUAUUAUCUAUGGAAAAUAUUUGAUUCUUCUCUGAAUUCUUUUAUGUAUGAUUGAGUUAUCUUUGCAAGUCUCUUCGAAUUAUCCGUUUGGUUUGGCCAACUAGAUUGGUAGUUCUUGCAAUGGGAGAAGUGCAUGGCUUUGGGUUCAAUCUUGUGGUGUCCUUACUCAGUGACAGAAAGAGUUGCAAGGCACGUAUUGUAUUGUUGCCAUCGAGGAUAACAAGAUGGGGUUUUUAUCAUAUUGCAUGAAUUUAUCCCUCUACAUCAUGUCAUCUUGCUUAAAGCGUUACUCUGUUUUUAACUUAAUACUCUAGAUGCAUGCUGGAUAGCGGUCGAUGAGUGGAGUAAUAGUAGUAGAUGCAGAAUCGUUUCGAUCUACUUAUCACGGACGUGAUGCCUAUAUACAUGAUCAUUGCCUAGAUAUACUCAUAAAUAUGCUCAAUUCUAUCAAUUUCUCAACAGUAAUUUGUUCACCCACCGUAGAAUACUUAUGCUCUUGAGAGAAGCCACUAGUGAAAUCCGUGGCCCCCGGGUCUCUUCUCAUCAUAUCAAUCUAUAUCACUUUAUUUACUUGCUUUGCCUUUACUUUUUACUUUGCAUCUAUCUAUCAAAAAUACCAAAAAUAUUAUCUCUAUCAGAUCUCACUCUCAUAAGUGACCGUGAAGGGAUUGACAACCCCUAAGCAUUGGUUGCGAGUUGCUAUCGUGUUGUGCAGGUACAAGGGACUUGCGUGUGACCUCCUACUGGAUUGAUACCUUGGUUCUCAAAAACUGAGGGAAAUACUUACGCUACUGUGUUGCAUCAUCCUCUCCUCUUCGGGAAAAACCAACGCAAGCUCGAGACAUAGCAAGAAGAAUUUCUGGCGCCGUUGCCGGGGAGGCUUACGCAAAAAUCAACAUACCAAGUACCCAUCGCAAUCCCUAUCUCUCGCAUUAUAUUAUUUGCCAUUUGCCUCUCGUUUUACUCUCCCCCACUUCACCCUUGCCGUUUUAUUCGCCCUCUCUUUCUCAAUCUCCUCCUCUCUUUCCCAUUUGCCUUUUUCCCUUUGCCUUUCUGUUAGCUUGUGUGUUGGAUUACUUGUUGCCAUGGCGCAAGACAAUACCAAAUUGUGUGAUUUCUCGAAUACCAAUAAUAAUGAUUUCCUUAGUACUCUGAUUGCUCCUCUCAAUAAUGAUGAGUCUUGUGAAAUCAAUACCGCUUUGCUGAAUCUUGUUAUGAAAGAUCAAUUCGCCGGCCUUCCUAGUGAAGAUGCCGCUACUCAUCUAAAUAAUUUUGUUGAUUUGUGUGAUAUGCAAAAGAAGAAAGAUACGGAUAAUAAUAUUGUCAAAUUGAAGUUAUUUCCGUUUUCACUUAGAGAUCAUGCUAAAGUUUGGUUUUCAUCUUUGCCUAAAAAUAGUAUUGAUUCUUGGAACAAGUGCAAAGAUGCUUUUAUCUCUAAGUAUUUUCCUCCCGCUAAGAUUAUCACUCUUAGGAACGAUAUCAUGAAUUUCAAACAACUUGAUCAUGAGCAUGUUGCCCAAUCUUGGGAAACAAUGAAAUUAAUGCUUCGCAAUUGCCCUACUCAUGGUUUGAAUUUAUGGAUGAUCCUACAAAAAAUUUAUGCCGGAUUGAAUUUUGCUUCUAGAAAUCUUUUAGAUUCGGCCGCAGGAGGCACUUUUAUGGAAAUUACGUUAGGGGAUGCUACCAAAUUGCUUGAUAAUAUUAUGGCUAAUUAUUCUCAAUGGCACACCGAAAGAUCUUCUAGUAAAAAGGUGCAUGCUAUAGAAGAAAUCAAUGUUUUGAGUGAAAAGAUGGAUGAACUUAUGAAGAUGUUUGCUCCUAAAAAUACUCCUCUUGAUCCUAAUGAUAUGCCUUUAUCUACUUUGCUUGAGAAUAAUAAUGAAUCUAUGGAUGUGAAUUUUGUUGGUAGGAAUAGUUUUGGAAACAACGCUUAUAGAGGGAAUUUUAAUCCUAGGCCUUAUCCUAGCAAUCCUUCUAACAAUUAUGGAAAUUCCUACAACAACUCUUAUGGAAAUUUUAAUAAGAUGCCCUCUGAAUUUGAGAGUAGUGUUAAAGAGUUUAUGAAUUCACAAAAGAAUUUUAAUGCUUUGCUUGAAGAGAAAUUGCUUAAAGUUGAUGAUUUGGCUAGGAACGUUGAUAGAAUUUCUCUUGAAGUUGAUUCUUUAAAGCUUAGAUCUAUUUCUCCUAAGCAUGAUAUCAAUGAGUCUCUCAAAGCUAUGAGAAUUUCCAUUGAUGAGUGCAAAGAAAGAACCGCUAGGAUGCGUGCUUCCAAAGAUGCCUUUAUUAAAGCAUGUUCUUCGAAUUCCUAUGAAAAUCAAGAUGAAGAUCUAAAAGUUAUUGAUGCGUCCCCCAUUAAAUAUUUGUUUUGCAAUAUGAAUCUUGAUGAAUCUGAAUAUGAUCUUCCCUUACCUAGAAGGCGUUCUAAGAAUUCAGAGUUUCUAGAUCUUGAUGAUGAAAUUGAUGAAAGUAGGAUUGAAAUAAAUAAAAACCGUGAUGUUGCUAAACCCACUAUUUUGGAUGUCAAGGAAUUUAAUUAUUAAAAUUGCUCUUUGAUUGGUUGUAUUUCCUUGUUGCAAUCCGUGCUAGAAUCUCCUCAUGCUUAUAGUAUAAAUAAGACCUUUACCGAACACAUUGUUGAUGCUUUGAUGCAAUCUUAUGAAGGAAAACUUGAGAUGAAAGUUUCUAUCCCUAGAAAACUCUAUGAUGAGUGGGAACCUACUAUUAAAAUUAAAAUUAAAGAUUUUGAAUUUCAUGCUUUAUGUGAUUUGGGUGCUAGUGUCUCUACUAUUCCCAAAACUUUAUGUGAUUUGCUAGAUUUCCGUGAUUUUGAUGAUUGCUCUCUAAACUUGCAUCUUGCGGAUUCCACUAUUAAAAAACCUAUGGGGAGAAUUAAUGAUGUUCUUAUUGUUGCAAAUAGGAAUUAUGUGCCCGUAGAUUUUAUCGUUCUUGAUAUAGAUUGCAAUCCUUUAUGUCCUAUUAUUCUUGGUAGACCUUUCCUUAGAACGAUUGGUGCAAUUAUUGAUAUGAAGGAAGGGAAUAUUAGAUUCCAAUUUCCCUUAAACAAGGGCAUGGAACACUUUCCUAGAAAUAAAAUAAAAUUAACAUAUGAAUCUAUCAUGAGAGCUACUUAUGGAUUGCCUACCAAAGAUGGCAAUGCCUAGAUCAAUCAUUGCUUUUAUGCCUAGCUAGGGGCGUUAAACGAUAGCGCUUGUUGGGAGGCAACCCAAUUUUAUUUUGUGUUUUUUGUUUUUGGUUCUGUUUAGGAAUAAAUAAUCCAUCUACCUUCUGUUUGGAUGUGUUUUUAUGUUUUAAUUAGUGUUUGUGCCAAGUAGGACCUAUAGGAUAACCUACGAUGAUAGUUGAUUUGAUUCUGCUGAAAAACAGAAACUUUAGCGCCCACGAGAUUAGCUGCCGUUUUUUACUGGAGAGUGAUUUUGCGUUGAUUCUUUUUGCUGCUGAUCAAUAAACAAAUUUUCCAUGACUUACUAUUUUGGUAGAAUUUUUAGAGUUCCAGAAGUUUGCGUUAGUUACAGAUUAAUAUAUAUUGUUCUGUUUUUGACAGAUUCUGUUCUUCGUGUGUUGUUUGCUUAUUUUGAUGAAUCUAUGGCUAGUAAAUUAGUUUAUAAACCAUAGAGAAGUUGUAAUACAGUAGAUUUAACACCAAUAUAAAUAAAUAAUGAGUUAAUUACAGUACCUUUAAGUAGUCUUUUGUUUUCUUUCUCUAACAGAGCUCACGAGAUUUCUGUUGAGUUUUGUGUUGUGAAGUUUUCAAGUUUUGGGUGAAUUCUUUUGAUGGAUUAUGGAACAAGGAGCGGCAAGAGCCUAAGCUUGGGGAUGCCCAUGGAACCCCCAAGAUAAUCCAAGGACACCAAAAAUUCAAAGCUUGGGGAUGCCCCGGAAGGCAUCCCCUCUUUCGUCCACUUCCAUCGGUAAUUUACUUGGAGCUAUAUUUUUAUUCACCAACAUGAUAUGUGUUUUGCUUGGAGCGUCUUGUAUUAUUUGUGUCUUUGCUUGUUAGUCUAACACAAUCAUCCUUGCUGUACACACCUUUUGAGAGAGCUAUACAUGAUUUGGAAUUUGUUAGAAUACUCUAUGUGCUUCACUUAUAUCUUUUGAGCUUGAUAGUUUUGCUCAUAGUGCUUCACUUAUAUCUUUUGAGCUUGAUAGUUUUGCUCUAGUUCUUCACUUAGAUCUUUUAGAGCACGGUGGUGGAUUUGUUUUAAAGAAACUUGAUCUCUCAUGCUUCACUUAGAUUAUUUUGAGAGUCAUUAAUAGCAUGGUAGUUUGCUUAAUGUUAAUAUACUUAGUGUUCAAGAUAUGUGAAACUUUCUUUUGAGUGAAUUGAAUACUAAGAUAAAUUUAAUGCUUAAUAAUUGUUUUGAGAUAUGGAGGUAAUAAUAUCAAAGUCGUGCUAGUUGAGUAGUUGUGAAAUUGAGAAAUACUUGUGUUGAAGUAUGUAAGUCCCGUAGCAUGCACGUAUGGGUAAAGUUGUGUAACAAAUUUGAAGCAUGAAGUGUACCUGGCUUGUGCAUCCUUAUGAGUGGCGGUCGGGGACGAGCGAUGGUCUUUUCCUACUAAUCUAUCCCCCUAGGAGCAUUGUGCGUAGUACUUGAUUUUUGAUGGCUUCUAAAUUUUUGCAAUAAGUAUAUGAGUUCUUUUGACUAAUGUUGAGUCCAUGGAUUAUAUGCACUCUCACCUUUCCGCCUUUGCUAGCCUCUUCGGUACCGUGCAUUGCCCUUUCUCACAUUGAGAGUUGGUGCAAACUUCGCCGGUGCAUCCAAACCCCGUGAUAUGAUACGCUCUUUCACACAUAAACCUCCUUAUAUCUUCCUCAAAACAGCCACCAUACCUACCUAUUAUGGCAUUUCCAUAGCCAUUCCGAGAUAUAUUGCCAUGCAACUUUCCACCGUUCCGUUCAUCAUGACAUACUUUACUUUUGUCAUAUUGCCAUUGCAUGAUCUUGUAGUUGACAUCGUAUUUGUGGCAAAGCCACCAUGCAUUAUUUUUCAUACAUGUCACUCUUGAUUCAUUGCACCAUCCCGGUACACCGCAGGAGGCAUUCAUAUAGAGUCAUAUCUUGUUCUAGUUUCGACUUGUAAUUGUUGAGUUGUAAGAAAAAUAAAAGUGUGAUGAUCUCCAUUAUUAGAGCAUUGUCCCAAGUGAGGAAAGGAUGAUGGAGACUGUGAUUCCCUCACAAGUCGGGAUGAGACUCCGGACGAAAAAAAAGACGCCAAAGAAGCCCAAAUAAAAAAAGGCCAUAAAAAAAGAGAAAAGGCCCAAAUAAAAAAAUAAAAAAAUAAAAAUAAAAAAGAAUGAGAGAAAAAGAGAGAAGGGACAAUGUUACUAUCCUUUUACCACACUUGUGCUUCAAAAUAGCACCUUGUUCUUCAUGUAGUGAGUCUCAUAUAUUGUGCUUCAAAGUAGCACCAUGAUUUUCAUAUAGUGAGUCUCAUAAGUUGUCUUUUUAUACUAGUGAGAAUUUUUCAUUAUAGAACUUAGCUUGUAUAUUCCUACGAUGGGCUUCCUCAAAUGCCCUAGGUCUUCAUGAGCAAGCAAGUUGGAUGCACACCCACUAGUUUUCUUUUAUUGAGCAUUCAUAGCUCUAGUGCAUCCGUUGCAUGGCAAUCCCUACUCCUCAUGUUGACAUCAAUUGAUGGGCAUCUCCAUAGCCCGUUGAUUAGCCUCGUCAAUGUGAGACUUUCUCAUUUUUUUUGUCUUCUCCACACAAACCCCAUCAUCAUAUUCUAUUCCACCCAUAGUGCUAUAUACAUGGCUCGCGCUCAUGUAUUGCGUGAAGGUUGAAAAAGUUUGAGAUUAUUUGAGUAUGAAACAAUUGCUUGGCUUGUCAUCGGGGGUAUAGAAGUUGGGAACAUCUUUGUGUGACGAAAAUGAAGCAUAGCCUAACUAUAUGAUUUUGUAGGGAUGAACUUUCUUUGGCUAAGUUAUUUUGAGAUGACAUAGUUGCUUUGAUUAGUAUGCUUGAAGUAUCAUUAUUUUUAUGUCAAUAUGAACUUUUAUCUUGAAUCUUUCGGAUCUGAAUAUUCAUACCAUGAUUAAGAAAAUUUACAUUGAAAUUAUGCCAAAGUAUCACUCCGCAUCAAAAAUUCUUUUUUUAUCAUUUACCUACUCGAGGACGAGCAGGAAUUAAGCUUGGGGAUGCCUGAUACGUCUCCAACGUAUCUAUAUUUUUUGAUUGCUCCAUGCUACUUUAUCUACUAUUUUGGACUAUAUUGGGCUUUAUUUUCCAUUUUUAUAUUAUUUUUGGGACUAACCUAUUAACCAGAGGCCCAACCCAGAAUUGUUGUUUUUUUGCCUAUUUCAGUGUUUCGAAGAAACGGGAUAUCAAACGGAGGCCAAACGGAAUGAAACCUUCGGGAACGUGAUUUUCUCACCGAACGUGAUCCAGGAGACUUGGACCCUACUCCAAGAAGCUUCCGAGGAGGUCACGAGGGUGGAGGGCGCCCCCCCUGGGCGCGCCCCCCUACCUCGUGGGCCCCUCGGAGCUCCACCGACGUACUCCUUCCUCCUAUAUAUACCUACGUAUCCCCAAUAGACCAGAGACGGAGCCAAAAACCUAAUUCCACCGCCGCAACCUUCUGUAUCCACGAGAUCCCAUCUUGGGGCCUGUUCCGGAGCUCCGCCGGAG
rnacentral:lncRNA from 1 species